rnacentral:rRNA from 1 species
CAAGGUCUCCGUUGGUGAACCAGCGGAGGGAUCAUUACAGAGUUGCAAAACUCCCAAACCAUCGUGAACGUUACCUACAUCGUUGCUUCGGCGGGUGGCGGGCUUCGGCCCUGCCCUCGGCCCCUCUCGGGGGCCCGCCGGAGGUACACCAAACUCUUGAAUUUACAUGGCCUCUCUGAGUCUUCUGUACUGAAUAAGUCAAAACUUUCAACAACGGAUCUCUUGGUUCUGGCAUCGAUGAAGAACGCAGCGAAAUGCGAUAAGUAAUGUGAAUUGCAGAAUUCAGUGAAUCAUCGAAUCUUUGAACGCACAUUGCGCCCGCCAGUAUUCUGGCGGGCAUGCCUGUCCGAGCGUCAUUUCAACCAUCAAGCCCCCGGCUUGUGUUGGGGACCUGCGGCACACCCGCAGGCCCUGAAAACCAGUGGCGGGCUCGCUGUCCACACCGAGCGYAGUAGCAUAUCUUUGUCUCGCUCAGGGCGUGCGGCGGGUUCCGGCCGUGAAACCCACCUUCUCGAAGGUACCCAAAGGUGACCUCGAUCA